rnacentral:rRNA from 1 species
GAUGAACGCUAGCUACAGGCUUAACACAUGCAAGUCGCGGGGCAGCAUGGGGGUUGCUUGCCAUCCCCGAUGGCGACCGGCGCACGGGUGAGUAACGCGUAUCCAACCUGCCCUUCACCACGGGAUAACCCGGCGAAAGUCGGACUAAUACCGUAUGUUGUCCAUUGACGGCAUCCGAUUUGGACGAAAGGCUUGGCGGUGAGGGAUGGGGUUGCGUCUGAUUAGCCAGACGGCGGGGUAACGGCACACCGUGGCUACGAUCGGUAGGGGUUCUGAGAGGAAGGUCCCCCACACUGGAACUGGGACACGGUCCAGACUCCUACGGGAGGCAGCAGUGAGGAAUAUUGGUCAAUGGGCGUAAGCCUGAACCAGCCAAGUAGCGUGCAGGAUGACGGCCCUAUGGGUUGUAAACUGCUUUUAUGAGGGGAUAAAGUGGCCCACGUGUGGGCUUUUGCAGGUACCGCAGGAAUAAGGACCGGCUAAUUCCGU